rnacentral:rRNA from 1 species
GACGAACGCUGGCGGCGUGCUUAACACAUGCAAGUCGAGCGGUAAGGCCUCUUCGGGGGCACACGAGCGGCGAACGGGUGAGUAACACGCGGGUGACCUGCCCUCAGCUCAGGGAUAAGCCUGGGCAACUGGGUCUAAUACCGGAUAUGACCUUUCAUCGCAUGGGGGUUGGGGGGAAGUUUUGUCGGUUGGGGAUGGGCUCGCGGCCUGUCAGCUUGUUUGUGGGGUGAUGGCCUGCCCAGGCGACGAAGGGUAGCCGGCCUGAGAGGGUGAGCGGCCAGACUGGGUUGGAGCCACGGCCCGGCCUCCUUCCCGCGGGAGGCCUGCGGUGUGUAUAUUGCGCGGUGGGCGGAAGCCUCACGCAGCGACGCCGCGUGGGGGAUGCCGUCCGUCGGGUUGUAUACCUCUUUCGACCCCGACGAAUUUUGACGGUAGGGGUAGAAGAAGCACCGGCCAACUACGUG